rnacentral:rRNA from 1 species
GACGAACGCUGGUGGCGUGCCUAAUACAUGCAAGUAGAACGCAGUUGCGCACGGGUGAGUAACGCGUAGGUAACUGCCUCAUAGCGGUGGAUAACUAUUGGAACCGAUACCUAAUACCGCAUACUUCGAGAUGGACCUGCGUUGUAUUAGCUAGUUGGUUAGGUAAAGGCAAACCAAGGUGACGAUACAUAGCCUGCCUGAGAGGGGGAUCGGCCACACGGGGAGUCAGACACGACCCAGACUCCUACGGGAGGCAGCAGUAGGGAAUCUUCGGCAAUUGACGGAAGUCUGACCGAGCAACGCCGCGUGAGAGAUGAAGGUGGUCGGAUCGUAAAGCUCUGUUGUAAGAGAAGUGGUAACUAACCAGAAAAGGACGGCUAACUAGGUGCGAGCAGCCGCGGUAAUUC